GCAGCUCUCCAUAUGUGCAUCCCUUUGCCUGUCCCCUACUCUCCCAACCAUUUCCUCUCAGGGCUUCCAUGCUUGGGGAAUGUCAUGGGUGAGACUGCAUUUGAAGGCCUGGGACACAUCGACCACAUUGUAUAUGGCUGCCAGCAACAGGAAGGAGGGGGAGAGAAUACCAACUCCAUCAGUUCCAAUGGAGAAGAUUCAGAUGAGGCUCAAAUGCGACUUCAGCUGAAGCGGAAGCUGCAAAGAAAUAGAACAUCCUUUACCCAAGAGCAAAUUGAGGCCCUGGAGAAAGAGUUUGAGAGAACCCAUUAUCCAGAUGUGUUUGCUCGAGAAAGACUAGCAGCCAAAAUAGAUCUACCUGAAGCAAGAAUACAGGUAUGGUUUUCUAAUCGAAGGGCCAAAUGGAGAAGAGAAGAAAAACUGAGGAAUCAGAGAAGACAGGCCAGCAACACACCUAGUCAUAUUCCUAUCAGCAGUAGUUUCAGCACCAGUGUCUACCAACCAAUUCCACAACCCACCACACCUGUUUCCUCCUUCACAUCUGGCUCCAUGUUGGGCCGAACAGACACAGCCCUCACAAACACCUACAGCGCUCUGCCGCCUAUGCCCAGCUUCACCAUGGCAAAUAACCUGCCUAUGCAACCCCCAGUCCCCAGCCAGACCUCCUCAUACUCCUGCAUGCUGCCCACCAGCCCUUCAGUGAAUGGGCGGAGUUAUGAUACCUACACCCCCCCACAUAUGCAGACACACAUGAACAGUCAGCCAAUGGGCACCUCGGGCACCAC
rnacentral:sRNA from 1 species